GACGUAGGGGGCGAGCGUUGUCCGGAGUUACUGGGCGUAAAGGGCCCGCAGGCGGUCUGGCGCGUUGGGGGGGACAGUCGGCGGCUUAACUGCCGAAGGCCUUCCAAGACGGCCAGACUCGAGGACCUCAGAGGGACAUGGAAGUCCGGGUGGAGCGGUGAAAUGCGUAGAGAUCCGGAGGAACACCAAAGGCGAAGGCAGUGUCCUGGGAGGUUACUGACGCUCGGGGGCGAAGGCCAGGGGAG
rnacentral:rRNA from 1 species